rnacentral:lncRNA from 1 species
UCUUCCAUGGAUUUUAGUUUCAAACAUGCCUCUUUUUUUUGAGUUAAUGAAAUUGACUGACUUUUUUUAUAUAUAUUUUGAAGGUCAGGUGUGAUAUUUUCAAAAAAAUAAAAAAUAAAUACCAAACCUCUUUUUUUUGAAAGAAGAUGAAUUUUUUUUAUUUUUUUAAUUCUUGCAUAUAUUUCAGUUUUGAAAAGACUUUUCUUCAAAAGGCACACACUACUU